CCUUACGGGAGGCAGCAGUGAGGAAUUUUUGCGCAAUGGGGGAAACCUUGAUGCAGCAACCCCGCGUGAGUGAAGAAGGCCCUUGGGUAGUAAAGCUSUGUCGACAGGGAGGAAAUUAUUUCGUUUAAAUAGUAUAUUGUAUUGACGGUACCUGUAGAGGAAGCKACCGGCUAACUCCGUGCCAGCAGCCGCGGUAAUACGGGGGGUGCAAGCGUUAUUCAGAAUUAUUGAAAAUAAAGGGCGAGUAGGCGGUCUUGUCGGUCAGAAAGAAAGCCCGGGGCUCAACCCUGGAAGUGCAUAWGAAACAGCAAGACUUGAAUACAGGAGGGGAGAGAGGAAUUCCUGGUGUAGAGGUGAAAUUCGUAGAUAUCAGGAGGAACMCCGAUGGAGAAGGCAGCUCUCUGGACAGAUAUAGACGGUGAGGCGAGUAAGUGAGGGUAGCAAACGGGAUUAGAUCCCCGAUAGUCC
rnacentral:rRNA from 1 species